rnacentral:rRNA from 1 species
UACGUAGGGUGCGAGCGUUAAUCGGAAUUACUGGGCGUAAAGCGUGCACAGGCGGUUUCUUAAGUCAGAUGUGAAAGCCCCGGGCUUAACCUGGGAACUGCGUUUGAAACUGGGAGACUUGAGUGUGGCAGAGGGGGGUGGAAUUCCACGUGUAGCAGUGAAAUGCGUAGAUAUGUGGAGGAACACCAAUGGCGAAGGCAGCCCCCUGGGUCAACACUGACGCUCAUGCACGAAAGCGUGGGGAGCAAACAGG